rnacentral:rRNA from 1 species
UACGAGGGGGGCAAGCGUUGUUCGGAAUUAUUGGGCGUAAAGGGUGCGUAGGCGGUUUGAUAAGUCAUCUGUGAAAUCUCUGGGCUCAACCCAGAGUCUGCAGGCGAAACUGUCGGGCUUGAGUAUGGGAGAGGUGAGUGGAAUUCCUGGUGUAGCGGUGAAAUGCGUAGAUAUCAGGAGGAACACCGGUGGUGUAAACGGCUUUCUGGACCACAACUGACGCUGGAGGCACGAAAGCGUGGGGAGCGAACAGG